rnacentral:misc_RNA from 1 species
GAUGAAGAACGCAGCGAAAUGCGAUAAGUAGUGUGAAUUGCAGAAUUCAGUGAAUCAUCGAAUCUUUGAACGCACAUUGCGCCCUUUGGUAUUCCAAAGGGCAUGCCUGUUCGAGCGUCAUUUGUACCCUCAAGCUUUGCUUGGUGUUGGGCGUCUUGUCUCUAGCUUUGCUGGAGACUCGCCUUAAAGUAAUUGGCAGCCGGCCUACUGGUUUCAGAGCGCAGCACAAGUCGCACUCUCUAUCAGCAAAGGUCUAGCAUCCAUUAAGCCUUUUUUUCAACUUUUGACCUCGGAUCAGGUAGGGAUACCCGCUGAACUUAAGCAUAUCAAUAAGCGGAGGA